AUACGGAGAGUGCGAGCGUUGUUCGGAAUUACUGGGCGUAAAGCGCGCGCAGGCGGACGUGCAAGUCGGGGGUGAAAUCCCAGGGCUCAACCCUGGGACUGCUUUCGAUACUGCAUGUCUAGGGACCGGUAGAGGCUGGUGGAAUUCCCGGUGUAGCGGUGGAAUGCGUAGAUAUCGGGAAGAACGCCUGUGGCGAAGGCGGCCAGCUGGGCCGGAUCCGACGCUGAGGCGCGAAAGCGUGGGGAGCAAACAGGAUUAGAUACCCUGGUAGUCCACGCCGUAAACGAUGGGUGCUAGAUGCCGGGGGGAGCGACCCCUACGGUGUCACAGCUAACGCGUUAAGCACCCCGCCUGGGGAGUACGGCCGCAAGGCUGAA
rnacentral:rRNA from 1 species